rnacentral:rRNA from 1 species
GACGAACGCUGGCGGCGCGCCUAACACAUGCAAGUCGAACGAGCGAGAGAGAGCUUGCUUUCUCGAGCGAGUGGCGAACGGGUGAGUAACGCGUGAGGAACCUGCCUCAAAGAGGGGGACAACAGUUGGAAACGACUGCUAAUACCGCAUAAGCCCACGACCCGGCAUCGGGUUGAGGGAAAAGGAGCAAUCCGCUUUGAGAUGGCCUCGCGUCCGAUUAGCUGGUUGGUGAGGUAACGGCCCACCAAGGCAAUGAUGCAUAGCCGAGUUGAGAGACUGAUCGGCCACAUUGGGACUGAGACACGGCCCAA